rnacentral:rRNA from 1 species
GACGAACGCUGGCGGCGUGCUUAACACAUGCAAGUCGAACGGUAAGGCCCUGCCUUGGUGGGGUGCUUGAGUGGCGAACGGGUGAGUAACACGUGAGUAACCUGCCCUUUACUUUGGGAUAACUUCAGGAAACUGGGGCUAAUACCGGAUAAGAGCUCCUGCUGCAUGGUGAGGGUUGGAAAGGUUCGGCGGUUCGGGUUGGACUCGAGGCUUCUCAGCUUUUUGGUGGGGUAGUGGACUACCAAGGCUUUGACGGUUAGCCGGCCUGAGAGGGUGACAGGCCACAUUGGGAUUGGGGUGGGGCCCAGACUGCUACGGGAGGAAGCAGUGGGGGACAUUGCACAAUGGGCGGAAGGAGGAUGGAGGAAUGCCGCGUGGGGGAUGACGGCUGUCGGGUUGGAAAGCGCGUUCGCCUGUGACGAAGCGUGAGUGACGGUAAUGUGUAAAGAAGCACCGGCUAACUACGUG